GGUUAAGCGACUAAGCGUACACGGUGGAUGCCCUGGCAGUCAGAGGCGAUGAAGGACGUGCUAAUCUGCGAUAAGCGUCGGUAAGGUGAUAUGAACCGUUAUAACCGGCGAUUUCCGAAUGGGGAAACCCAGUGUGAUUCGUCACACUAUCAUUAACUGAAUCCAUAGGUUAAUGAGGCGAACCGGGGGAACUGAAACAUCUAAGUACCCCGAGGAAAAGAAAUCAACCGAGAUUCCCCCAGUAGCGGCGAGCGAACGGGGAGCAGCCCAGAGCCUGAAUCAGUGUGUGUGUUAGUGGAAGCGUCUGGAAAGGCGCGCGAUACAGGGUGACAGCCCCGUACACAAAAAUGCACAUGCUGUGAGCUCGAUGAGUAGGGCGGGACACGUGGUAUCCUGUCUGAAUAUGGGGGGACCAUCCUCCAAGGCUAAAUACUCCUGACUGACCGAUAGUGAACCAGUACCGUGAGGGAAAGGCGAAAAGAACCCCGGCGAGGGGAGUGAAAAAGAACCUGAAACCGUGUACGUACAAGCAGUGGGAGCACGCUUAGGCGUGUGACUGCGUACCUUUUGUAUAAUGGGUCAGCGACUUAUAUUCUGUAGCAAGGUUAACCGAAUAGGGGAGCCGAAGGGAAACCGAGUCUUAACUGGGCGUUAAGUUGCAGGGUAUAGACCCGAAACCCGGUGAUCUAGCCAUGGGCAGGUUGAAGGUUGGGUAACACUAACUGGAGGACCGAACCGACUAAUGUUGAAAAAUUAGCGGAUGACUUGUGGCUGGGGGUGAAAGGCCAAUCAAACCGGGAGAUAGCUGGUUCUCCCCGAAAGCUAUUUAGGUAGCGCCUCGUGAAUUCAUCUCCGGGGGUAGAGCACUGUUUCGGCAAGGGGGUCAUCCCGACUUACCAACCCGAUGCAAACUGCGAAUACCGGAGAAUGUUAUCACGGGAGACACACGGCGGGUGCUAACGUCCGUCGUGAAGAGGGAAACAACCCAGACCGCCAGCUAAGGUCCCAAAGUCAUGGUUAAGUGGGAAACGAUGUGGGAAGGCCCAGACAGCCAGGAUGUUGGCUUAGAAGCAGCCAUCAUUUAAAGAAAGCGUAAUAGCUCACUGGUCGAGUCGGCCUGCGCGGAAGAUGUAACGGGGCUAAACCAUGCACCGAAGCUGCGGCAGCGACGCUUAUGCGUUGUUGGGUAGGGGAGCGUUCUGUAAGCCUGUGAAGGUGUGCUGUGAGGCAUGCUGGAGGUAUCAGAAGUGCGAAUGCUGACAUAAGUAACGAUAAAGCGGGUGAAAAGCCCGCUCGCCGGAAGACCAAGGGUUCCUGUCCAACGUUAAUCGGGGCAGGGUGAGUCGACCCCUAAGGCGAGGCCGAAAGGCGUAGUCGAUGGGAAACAGGUUAAUAUUCCUGUACUUGGUGUUACUGCGAAGGGGGGACGGAGAAGGCUAUGUUGGCCGGGCGACGGUUGUCCCGGUUUAAGCGUGUAGGCUGGUUUUCCAGGCAAAUCCGGAAAAUCAAGGCUGAGGCGUGAUGACGAGGCACUACGGUGCUGAAGCAACAAAUGCCCUGCUUCCAGGAAAAGCCUCUAAGCAUCAGGUAACAUCAAAUCGUACCCCAAACCGACACAGGUGGUCAGGUAGAGAAUACCAAGGCGCUUGAGAGAACUCGGGUGAAGGAACUAGGCAAAAUGGUGCCGUAACUUCGGGAGAAGGCACGCUGAUAUGUAGGUGAAGCGACUUGCUCGUGGAGCUGAAAUCAGUCGAAGAUACCAGCUGGCUGCAACUGUUUAUUAAAAACACAGCACUGUGCAAACACGAAAGUGGACGUAUACGGUGUGACGCCUGCCCGGUGCCGGAAGGUUAAUUGAUGGGGUCAGCGCAAGCGAAGCUCUUGAUCGAAGCCCCGGUAAACGGCGGCCGUAACUAUAACGGUCCUAAGGUAGCGAAAUUCCUUGUCGGGUAAGUUCCGACCUGCACGAAUGGCGUAAUGAUGGCCAGGCUGUCUCCACCCGAGACUCAGUGAAAUUGAACUCGCUGUGAAGAUGCAGUGUACCCGCGGCAAGACGGAAAGACCCCGUGAACCUUUACUAUAGCUUGACACUGAACAUUGAGCCUUGAUGUGUAGGAUAGGUGGGAGGCUUUGAAGUGUGGACGCCAGUCUGCAUGGAGCCGACCUUGAAAUACCACCCUUUAAUGUUUGAUGUUCUAACGUGGACCCGUAAUCCGGGUUGCGGACAGUGUCUGGUGGGUAGUUUGACUGGGGCGGUCUCCUCCUAAAGAGUAACGGAGGAGCACGAAGGUUGGCUAAUCCUGGUCGGACAUCAGGAGGUUAGUGCAAUGGCAUAAGCCAGCUUGACUGCGAGCGUGACGGCGCGAGCAGGUGCGAAAGCAGGUCAUAGUGAUCCGGUGGUUCUGAAUGGAAGGGCCAUCGCUCAACGGAUAAAAGGUACUCCGGGGAUAACAGGCUGAUACCGCCCAAGAGUUCAUAUCGACGGCGGUGUUUGGCACCUCGAUGUCGGCUCAUCACAUCCUGGGGCUGAAGUAGGUCCCAAGGGUAUGGCUGUUCGCCAUUUAAAGUGGUACGCGAGCUGGGUUUAGAACGUCGUGAGACAGUUCGGUCCCUAUCUGCCGUGGGCGCUGGAGAAUUGAGGGGGGCUGCUCCUAGUACGAGAGGACCGGAGUGGACGCAUCACUGGUGUUCGGGUUGUCAUGCCAAUGGCACUGCCCGGUAGCUAAAUGCGGAAGAGAUAAGUGCUGAAAGCAUCUAAGCACGAAACUUGCCCCGAGAUGAGUUCUCCCUGACUCCUUGAGAGUCCUGAAGGAACGUUGAAGACGACGACGUUGAUAGGCCGGGUGUGUAAGCGCAGCGAUGCGUUGAGCUAACCGGUACUAAUGAACCGUGAGGCUUAACCUU
rnacentral:rRNA from 1 species